UACGAAGGGUGCAAGCGUUAUUCGGAUUUAUUGGGCGUAAAGGGUUCGUAGGCGGGAUUAUAAGUCAAGUGUGAAAUCCCCAAGCUUAACUUGGGACGUGCAUUUGAAACUGUGAUUCUUGAGUCAUUGAGAGGGUGGUGGAAUUGUUGGUGUAGGAGUGACAUCCGUAGAGAUCAACAGGAACAUCAGAGGCGAAAGCGGCCACCUGGCAAUGUACUGACGCUGAGGAACGAAAGCGUGGGGAGCAAACAGG
rnacentral:rRNA from 1 species